AUAAAUGUUGAACACAUAUUAGUAUUAAUAGAUAAUUAUUUUUUCAAAUUAAUAAAAACUUGAAAUUGGUAUAAGGUUUCACUAUGUAAAUAAACAAACAUUAUUGAACUGAUUUCCACUAUAAUCUCCAUUCAGAGUGGUUUUUAUAAUCAUCCUUGUCGUUUUCUUUUACGAUUCUAUUAAAAAUAUUAAUGUUAAAAUAAUACUGCAACGAUCAAAUGUAGAGACGAAUACCUACUAUACGUUCUACAUCCUCACGUAUCUAUUUAAAUAUUCUGUAAUUAUUCAUUUUAUUCAUGAAAUACUUCAAAUUAGUUAAAUUUAUUUUGAGGAUAUCAUUUCAAACAAGAAAAAAAUAAAACGCAGAUAUUCUUCUUCUGGUAUUAAGAUUUUCGAUAAGUUAUCAGUAGUUUUCUAUAUGUUUAUCUGCCAAAACUCAAAUCCUUCGAGUAAACUUUUCAUUACCACCUAUCCUUAUAAAAAGUGUGAGGUGUAUAUUAAAUUCUAUCAUUGGUUCACCAAUUUUAU